rnacentral:rRNA from 1 species
UCAUUAAACAAAAAAAAAUUUUUUUUACUGAAUUUUGAUCGUAAGCGCGCGCAGGCGGUUCCUUAAGUCUGAUGUGAAAGCCCCCGGCUCAACCGGGGAGGGUCAUUGGAAACUGGGGAACUUGAGUGCAGAAGAGGAGAGCGGAAUUCCACGUGUAGCGGUGAAAUGCGUAGAGAUGUGGAGGAACACCAGUGGCGAAGGCGGCUCUCUGGUCUGUAACUGACGCUGAGGCGCGAAAGCGUGGGGAGCAAACAGGAUUAGAUACCCUGGUAGUCCACGCCGUAAACGAUGAGUGCUAGGUGUUGGGGGGUUCCACCCUCAGUGCUGAAGUUAACACAUUAAGCACUCCGCCUGGGGAGUACGACCGCAAGGUUGAAACUCAAAGGAAUUGACGGGGGCCCGCACAAGCAGUGGAGCAUGUGGUUUAAUUCGAAGCAACGCGAAGAACCUUACCAGGUCUUGACAUCCUCUGACAACCCUAGAGAUAGGGCUUUCCCCUUCGGGGGACAGAGUGACAGGUGGUGCAUGGUUGUCGUCAGCUCGUGUCGUGAGAUGUUGGGUUAAGUCCCGCAACGAGCGCAACCCUUGAUCUUAGUUGCCAGCAUUCAGUUGGGCACUCUAAGAUGACUGCCGGUGACAAACCGGGAGGAAGGUGGGGGAUGACGUCAAA